AACUGCCGGUUACCUCUGUUCUCAAGCUUUCAUGCGGUUUUUCAUUUUCUUUGAGAAUCAGGCUUUCAUGCGCGGCUAUAUACACCCACCUCUGUUUUCAACACCAUUAUUUCCUCCUUUUCCCCUCCGGUGAGAUAAAAACUUGAUGGGCCUAUACAAGUUAGAAACAAGUAAAACUUGACCUCGGAAAGUUUGGGCCAGACAGGCCUUCGUCACCACCUGCAUUUGAAUAGAAGUCAUUACUACUCGGCCCAACUGCGCGGUGGAGCCAGUGAUGGCCGGGGCGAGGACGGACAGGGCGGUGUCGCCGCUUCGUGGCCCCCGCCGUCGAUACUCCCGAUGCGCCAUCACUCCCCCGCGCAUAAAUN
rnacentral:lncRNA from 1 species